UACGUAGGGUGCAAGCGUUACUCGGAAUUACUGGGCGUAAAGCGUGCGUAGGCGGUUCGCUGUGUCCGAUGUGAAAGCCCCGGGCUUAACCUGGGAAUGGCAUUGGAAACUGGCGGGCUUGAGUGCGGCAGAGGGGGGUGGAAUUCCGCGUGUAGCAGUGAAAUGCGUAGAGAUGCGGAGGAACACCGAUGGCGAAGGCAGCCCCCUGGGUCGACACUGACGCUCAGGCACGAAAGCGUGGGGAGCAAACAGG
rnacentral:rRNA from 1 species